UCAUCUUUGUCUUCCCUUUGUCUCCUCACAUAGUGCAGGGCCAGAGACUUGAUACCUUUGGACAGACCCAGCAUGGACUUUGGGCUGGGGACCAGGUUGAAGGGCACCGGUAGCGUUCUACCCUCCUCAAAGUAGGAAAACCAGAGUUUAGCCCGAGCAAACUUCCACUCAACAUCAGCAUCGUCCUGCACAGAGCGGGACAACAGUGUUGCUGAGGGGAAGGCAGAAACUCACCCGAGCCAUCGUCCAGGGCAACUGUUCUCCUCUGGGAAGUCAUCGUACAUCAGCAGGUUGUCCCGGCUCCUGGCCCGCGGGCUGUCCGGGCUCGGAGACGCCCUGUGGUUCAUCCCUGGAAGAGAUCAGAGGGGUUGACUGAUGGCUGAUGAACAGCAGAUGAGAUUCCUCGGGGUCCAAAUUCCCAGCAGACUUUGCUUCCUGUGUCCUCCUACCCUGUGUGCUCCUCAUCCACUGUGGGAAAACUACUUCCCACUUUGCACACACACACACACACACAUAUACAUACACAUACAAGAGAGAAGUUAAAUUUCCUGUCCAGAUGCACACACUUUCUUUAGAUAAUGGAGUGGCGAUCCUCACCCUCGCCCUGCUUCACUGUAUGCGACCCACAUCCUCCCCCAAAACAUCACCCGUCCUGGUUUCUAUUCUUACUAGAAAUUCUCAUAGACCACAUAAACAACACCUCAUGACAUCAACAUGAGGAAAUCCGAUAAGGCUGAGCCUCUGAUGUGCACAUUGUGGCACCAAGUUGCCUUUUAAGGCCCUGAUUGCUGAAGAUUAGACACUUUGGACUUUUUAUGGCGUCAAACUUCGUUUGA